UUCUGAUGAACAUCAGCGUUUGCAUAGCGCGCAUGUAAAAAAAUUAUCGCAUUGCCAGGUUAUGAAGAAGGCGUUGAAUGUUUUAUUUAAAGUGCUAAAAAAUAUAUUUGAGGAUAACUUUUUGAAAAGAAAUGUUUUUCCCAUACAGUUGGUCAGUCUUCUCAAGUACUCUGGUGGUUCAAUGAUAGUGACUUUCCCACUCAGCCCUGAUAAGGACAGAUUUCUUAAAGCAAUUGGAGAAAGCGCAGCGGAGAAUUGAUUCGAAAAGGCUUUUAUUGCAGACUCGGAGAGAUUGAAGAAAUGGGAAAUGAACCAAAAGGUGCUGCUGCCAUCUAGCGACUAUUUAUUCAACUUUUUAAAUUGAUUGACUCGAUUCAUUGAAGUUUUCUUUCUGAAUUUAGAAUUUUAACAUUUUAAAAUAAUGAAAUUUAAUAUAAUAAAUACGUAAUGAUAUUUUGGGUAAAAAUUUAAAUGAAGCAAAAUAAACUUUACUUUUAUAAAAAUCAAUAUGAAAAGAAUAAAAGC